GACGAACGCUGGCGGCGUGCCUAAUACAUGCAAGUCGUGCGGACCUUUUAAAAGCUUGCUUUUAAAAGGUUAGCGGCGGACGGGUGAGUAACACGUGGGCAACCUGCCUGUAAGACUGGGAUAACGCCGGGAAACCGGGGCUAAUACCAGAUCGUUUUUUCCUCCGCAUGGAGGAAAAAGGAAAGGCGGCUUCGGCUGCCACUUACAGAUGGGCCCGCGGCGCAUUAGCUAGUUGGCGGGGUAACGGCCCACCAAGGCAACGAUGCGUAGCCGACCUGAGAGGGUGAUCGGCCACAUUGGGACUGAGACACGGCCCAAACUCCUACGGGAGGCAGCAGUAGGGAAUCUUCCGGAAUGGACGAAAGGCUGACGGGGCAACGCCGGGGGAGGGAAGGAGGCCUUCGGGUCGUAAAACUCUGUUGCCGGGGAAGAACAAGAGCCGUACGAACAGGGCGGCGCCUUGACGGUACCCGGCCAGAAAGCCACGGCUAACUACGUG
rnacentral:rRNA from 1 species